CGCUGGCGGCGUGCCUAAUACGUGCAAGUCGAACGCACUCUCGUUUAGAUUGAAGGAGCUUGCUCCUGAUUGAUAAACAUUUGAGUGAGUGGCGGACGGGUGAGUAACACGUGGGUAACCUGCCCUAAAGUGGGGGAUAACAUUUGGAAACAGAUGCUAAUACCGCAUAAAACCUAACACCGCAUGGUGUAGGGUUGAAAGAUGGUUUCGGCUAUCACUUUAGGAUGGACCCGCGGUGCAUUAGUUAGUUGGUGAGGUAAAGGCUCACCAAGACCGUGAUGCAUAGCCGACCUGAGAGGGUAAUCGGCCACACUGGGACUGAGACACGGCCCAGACUCCUACGGGAGGCAGCAGUAGGGAAUCUUCCACAAUGGACGAAAGUCUGAUGGAGCAACGCCGCGUGAGUGAAGAAGGUUUUCGGAUCGUAAAACUCUGUUGUUGGAGAAGAAUGUAUCUGAUAGUAACUGAUCAGGUAGUGACGGUAUCCAACCAGAAAGCCACGGCUAACUACGUG
rnacentral:rRNA from 1 species